UUAUUUCGAAUCUUAAAUAUGAUCCUUUUUCGAAAUCAGUGGUUGGGCCGAAUGCCUGGAGUGCA
rnacentral:tRNA from 1 species